rnacentral:rRNA from 1 species
UACGUAGGGGGCAAGCGUUAUCCGGAUUUACUGGGUGUAAAGGGAGCGUAGACGGCGCAGCAAGUCUGGAGUGAAAGCCCGGGGCUCAACCGCGGGACUGCUUUGGAAACUGCGGCGCUGGAGUGCAGGAGGGGUGGGCGGAAUUCCUAGUGUAGCGGUGAAAUGCGUAGAUAUUAGGAGGAACACCGGUGGCGAAGGCGGCCCACUGGACUGUAACUGACGUUGAGGCUCGAAAGCGUGGGGAGCAAACAGG